rnacentral:tRNA from 1 species
AAGGAGGCUUGCAAGCAACAAAGGCUGCUACCCCUUGUGCCCUCGGUUGAAUUCCGAUGCUCCCUCGAAGCU